GUUAAAUCGAUAAUAAAGAAUUUAACAAAACGCCAGUUUUUUUUCGAGUUUAACAACAUAAAGUUGUCCAUCAAGGCCUUAAAUUAGCUUACUAAAUGCAUGCGACUCUUCGUUUAUUGUGACAUAUAUGAUGGCUUGCGGGUUUGGCAGACAGGCAGAUUAGAUUAGGAAACUAGUGACGUAAAAUGCUUCGUCAGAUUGUUUUUUUUUUUAUAAAAUAAGAUUGUGCCAAUAUUUGCACGGAAAGUUCAGCUCAGUUCAGGUACGUGAUUAAUUAUAAUUUGCACAGAAUCCAGUAAUGAUGUGAGAGCGGAAGUAUAUUGAUUUAGGACAUAGAUUUACCGACUCGACUCACCGGAAGGGCAACGAAGCAGUAUAGUUAAGAAAGGUACUUAACCUGAAUGUCCUCAGUAAAAUAUACUGCUUUAUAGAUGGGAAAAUAGUGAAUUGAUCUGGAUAUAUGUCGGCUAAGCAUGUCACAGGGGGUCUGGAGUCCGUCCCAGACAACAGAGGGCACAAGCCUGGGGUACUCCAAAGAUGGGAUGCCAGUCCGUUGCAGGGCACACAUGCGCUCACACACGACAGCCAAUUUUGAGACGUGCAUGUGUCUGGACUGCAGGGGGUGACCUGCACGACGCUGGGAGGAAUUUCUCACACACGCAGUGCAGAGCCCCUGGCACCGGCAAUCGCCCCGGGUGUCUCCUUUGUGAAGCCUGCUGAGAUCCAGAGUGUGGCUUCUUCUUUUCUUCCCUCCCCAGUUCCAUUGAGUGAUCUCCAUGUCUUCCUUGGACUCUCUCCAGGUCUUCACUGGGCGGACGUGAAAAUUAAACAGCUCAGUUUGCCCCCUCCUCUACUCCCCCCCCCCCAGUCCCGCAAGUCCGAGGUUGCAUUGCGAGUAUUUCCUGGGCUGUGAUGGUUUGAUCAAAAUUAUUCCACGCCUUUGCCUCCCGCCUAUUUGGGUAUAUGAAAUGUGUUUAAUGUAGUGUUGUGAUCUAUUGGACAAUUUGCUGUGAUGUCGUGGGAUCUUCAAAAACAUACCGAAUAAAUUUCGAUAACGGAGUAUGCCAACAAAAUAAAUAAAUAAAUAAAUAAAUAAAUAAUUUUUUAUCGUUUAUAAUAUUUUCGUAUUAAAAACGUAUAGUGA